rnacentral:rRNA from 1 species
UACGGGGGGGGCAAGCGUUGUUCGGAAUUACUGGGCGUAAAGGGCUCGUAGGUGGCCAACUAAGUCAGACGUGAAAUCCCUCGGCUUAACCGGGGAACUGCGUCUGAUACUGGAUGGCUUGAGUGUGGGAGAGGGAUGCGGAAUUCCAGGUGUAGCGGUGAAAUGCGUAGAUAUCUGGAGGAACACCGGUGGCGAAGGCGGCAUCCUGGACCAAUACUGACACUGAGGAGCGAAAGCCAGGGGAGCAAACGGG